UACUUAGCAGCUAGCUUAAACAAU
rnacentral:rRNA from 2 species